CCUACGGGAGGCAGCAGUGGGGAAUUUUGCGCAAUGGGCGAAAGCCUGACGCAGUAACGCCGCGUGGAGGAUGAAGGCUUUAGAGUCGUAAACUCCUGUCAGGGGGAACGAUGGUGGUAGGGCGAACAGCCCUCCCGCCAAGACGGUACCUCCAAAGGAAGCCCCGGCUAAUUCCGUGCCAGCAGCCGCGGU
rnacentral:rRNA from 1 species